GACUGCGUUCACAACAAGGAAAAGGUGAAAAUCGAUUAUGCAAAAGCUGAAACGAAAGGAAGGCAAGCAAAUCGCUUGUGCAGAAAAGCAAACACGUUCUUCCUCUGGUCGUCAUCAAUGCGUUUGUGCAUUCUGGAAUCAAAUCCAUCAUCGUCGCUCCACGCCUCACGUCUUGAACACAUCGUACGAAUUCUCCAUCAACGCAUCUUCAGAGUUCUGAUUCCUACUCAAAAUUGACGUGGAUUCGUGUUCGCCUCAGGGAUUCAACCUUAUGUUUCAUCGCAACGUCGCACUUCCAAUUUCCACUCGCGCUCAUAGAUUUGUGAUUCCCUCAAUUGGACAUCAUUCAUGGCACCUUUUUGGAUUGGGUUACCGUGCUCGCGGAUUCCUGCGUGGUAAUAUGGAAUUUCAUCAUCGCGUUCGACUCACAACCUUCGUGUCACCAUGAAAUCAACAACGACGAAAUGCGGACUAAAACAAAAACUUACCGGCUUUGAUGCGACAGCGAAAGCAGUUCGGAGAAGAUGGUUGAAGCUUGAAGAACAAGAAGGUUGAAGCUUGAAGAACAAGAAGGUUGAAUGAAGAAGAGAUUGAAGGCUGAAGAAAAUCUCAGAAGAUUGGAUGUGAUGCAGGAACCUUCACUUUUAGAACAUGGUUAUUGCUGCAUUGGCAUUGACAGUAUCUGAUUCAAGAGUAUUCGGUGCUAAACCGACAAUACUGACAGCAGUAAUUGGGUCGAUCGAGCUCCAUUUUGAGUCAGAAACCCCACCCGAUUGGAAAGAGUGGACUCACCAAUAGUAGCCGAAGAGGACGUGAAUGACACUUGCGAAAUAUUUUGGUUGAAACUGGGCUUAACAGACGUAGCUUCAUCGUUUGUUUUAUUUAAUGGAGCCGCUUAGUUAAUUUAAUCAAUUUGCUGUUAGUUCUUAAGUAAAUGUGAAUUGGUUAGUUUUGACCUUGUUAUUAAUGCAUUUUCGGUUUACCAAAUGAGAUUAAAUGAGGCUUCAUUGUAUUGAAUGAAUAUUAUCCAAUUUGUAUUGAUUUGAAAAGUUGGGAUUAAUGGUGAUGAAGAUUGAAUUUAAAUA